rnacentral:rRNA from 1 species
UUUACUGUAGCUUUGUAUUGGACUUUGAACAGAUCUGUGUAGGAUAGGUGGGAGGCUUUGAAGCAGGGUCGCUAGAUCUUGUGGAGCCAACGUUGAAAUACCACCCUGGUGUGUUUGAGGUUCUAACCUAGGUCCAUUAUCUGGAUCGGGGACAGUGCAUGGUAGGCAGUUUGACUGGGGCGGUCUCCUCCCAAAGCGUAACGGAGGAGUUCGAAGGUACGCUAGUUACGGUCGGACAUCGUGACGAUAGUGCAAUGGCAUAAGCGUGCUUAACUGCGAGACUGACAAGUCGAGCAGAUGCGAAAGCAGGACAUAGUGAUCCGGUGGUUCUGUAUGGAAGGGCCAUCGCUCAACGGAUAAAAGGUACUCUGGGGAUAACAGGCUGAUACCGCCCAAGAGUUCAUAUCGACGGCGGUGUUUGGCACCUCGAUGUCGGCUCAUCUCAUCC